CAACUCCAUUAUCAGUACCUCACAAAUAGUUGCGCCUGGCGCACGUCUCACCAGAGCUUGCCAUAUUGUGGCUUGAUUCCUAUACAAAGUUCCCUUCUCUCUCUCUGUGCUGUGCCGUGCCAGAUCCCUCGCGGAUAGGGUGUGUGAAUUCAUCGCGAGCGAAUGUGUCCCAGUAGCUACUUAACUUAAUCCACCCGCUCUCGUAUUGUGUGCGCCUUCCAGUCCGGGUGGGCCGCUCGUGAAGAACAGUUAGGGAACUCUUAGAGAGAAGCGCUAUCAAAUAGCCAUGAACUGAUCCUGAUAUUUCUGUAAAUUGUCUCUUUAGUGCCUCUGCAGAUGAUUUUUUGUACCACUCUCCGUUAGAGUUACUGAAUAUGAUGUGAUUUAACUUUAACUCUAUAUAUAUAUAAAUUUAAAUUAAACAAUUUCAAUUUAUAUACGUCUCCUCCUCGCCUCAAAGUAUCGUGUGUACGUGAAUUGUGCAAUAUAAAAUCUCUACAAGAUAUUUACUCUUCCUCCACAUACUCAGAAAGAUAAAAGCUUACAAUCAUGCCUGUUAACUACGAUAUGGUGAUUUCCCAGAGCCCUCCGGUGUUCAGUCACAGUCCACCGACCGGAUUUCUCAGUGAUUGCACAGUUAAUUUUAGACGACCUUUUGAAGCGCCAUGCUACCGACCAUCGGUGCUUCUGGCGUCGCCAACAAACCAAAGGAAGAACACGCUGUCGAUCAAGAUGGCUAACACGCCCAAGCGAUCAUGCCUGAUCACUCACACCGAUGCCAACAUCCUCAGCUCGUCGUCCUGCCAGGCGAGCGUGACAAAGAGAGACUCAGAGCCUGGCCGGAUAAAGAAGCGUGUGAUAUUUGCUGACGACAAGGGCCUCGAAUUGGUGCAGGUGAAAGUGAUGUCGGAGCCGUCGAACGUGCCACCCUUCUGGAGCCUGCAGUUCUUGGCGCACGUGACACAGGGCAUGAUCAGUCCUGUGCCGCCAGAACAGUGGGUGGUGGACUUCCAGCAGCCGGCAUCAGACUACUUAGCAUUCCGGCAAAAGCUUGAGGAGAAGAAUGUGUCUCUGGAAAAUGUGAUUGUGAAGGAGAAUGACUCGAUUGUCGUGGGAACGGUGAAAGUGAAGAAUCUGCAUUUCACCAAGGAGGUGAUUGUCAGGGCUACGUGGGACAGUUGGAAGAGCCAGGAGGACAUCUUCUGUGUGUUCUCAAAGGUGUCCGGAGCGUCCGGCGCCUAUGUCCUGUAUGACACCUUCUCCUUCCGCCUCACCCUGCCGCCUGCGUCCAAAACUCUGGAGUUCUGCGUGUGCUUCCGCUGCAACGAUCGCGAGUUCUGGGACAACAACGACGGACGCAACUACACGCUGUCGAAGCGACUGUCUGACAAGGCGAGCGACACAUUCGUGAGCUUCGAUCGCGCCAAGGCUCAGUCAAAGUGCGCCAUCAGCUCGGGUGAGCAGGGCAUCAAGGUGCCCUCGUGGCCGGAAGUGAGCUCUUGGAAUAAGACAGAGAGUCCCUACUGGUGAGUCUCUCCAUGCGUUGAUCGUCAUCAUCACUCACACCGGACGACGCACCCUACAGGAUAUCCAUUUCUUCCGUCACACUCUGGGAAUCGACAUCAAAAUUUUGGGGGGAAGAGCCGCACAUUGAAAACUGUCAAAGAAACUACUUGGGGGUGCGCUCUUGAAGAAGUUCCACAUGAUCGCACAACAUCGAGCGAGAGGUAAUCUUAGUGAAGUUUGGGGAGUGAGUGAAAAGCAGCACUUAUUUUGCAGCUCUAUGUUGAUCUGUUAAAACAGUAAAAGUUGAUUGUGAAGAAAUUA